rnacentral:rRNA from 1 species
CCUACGGGCGGCAGCAGUGGGGAAUAUUGGACAAUGGGGGGAACCCUGAUCCAGCCAUGCCGCGUGUGUGAAGAAGGCCCUCGGGUUGUAAAGCACUUUCAGUGAGGAAGAACGCCUGGUGGUUAAUACCCAUCAGGAAAGACAUCACUCACAGAAGAAGCACCGGCUAACUCCGUGCCAGCAGCCGCGGUAAUACGGAGGGUGCGAGCGUUAAUCGGAAUUACUGGGCGUAAAGCGCGCGUAGGUGGCUUGAUAAGCCGGUUGUGAAAGCCCCGGGCUCAACCUAGGAACGGCAUCCGGAACUGUCAAGCUAGAGUGCAGGAGAGGAAGGUAGAAUUCCCGGUGUAGCGGUGAAAUGCGUAGAGAUCGGGAGGAAUACCAGUGGCGAAGGCGGCCUUCUGGACUGACACUGACACUGAGGUGCGAAAGCGUGGGUAGCAAACAGGAUUAGAUACCCGUGUAGUC